AGCAGCCGCGGUAAUUCCAGCUCCAAUAGCGUAUAUUAAAGUUGUUGCAGUUAAAAAGCUCGUAGUUGAAUUUCGGGGUCAGUAGAUUGGUCAUGCCACUGGUAUGUACUGGUCUCACUGAUUCCUCCUUCCUGAUGAGCCGUAAUGCCAUUAAUUUGGUGUUGCGAGGAAUCUGGACUGCUACUUUGAAAAAUUAGAGUGUUUAAAGCAGGCUAACGCUUGAAUACAUUAGCAUGGAAUAAUGAAAUAGGACGUUCGAUCCUAUUUUGUUGGUUUCUAAGAUUGACGUAAUGAUUAAUAGGGAUAGUUGGGGGCAUUAGUAUUCAAUUGUCAGAGGUGAAAUUCUUGGAUUUAUUGAAGACUAACUACUGCGAAAGCAUUUGCCAAGGAUGUUUUCAUUAAUCAAGAACGAAAGUUAGGGGAUCGAAGACGAUCAGAUACCGUCGUAGUCUUAACCAUAAACUAUGCCGACUAGGGAUCGGAUGAUGUUAAUUUUUUUAA
rnacentral:sRNA from 1 species